rnacentral:lncRNA from 1 species
UUUUUGUCUAUCUUCUGUUUCCCUUUUCUUUUUUUGUUCUCUUCCUCUGCUUCUUCCCGUCUUUAUUCCUUCGUUCUUCUUCUUCUUUCUUUUUCUUCUUCUUCUUCUUCUUCUUCUUUCUUCUUAUUCUCCUUUUCCUUCUUCUUGUCUUUCACUAGUGCUGCCUGUCGGAGUGAUCAGCCACCAACUUGAAUCGACAACAAAAAAAUGGCAUGCGCUGCGUGAUCUGCCAUCACUUCCACUGCUGCACGAAACCGCCGACGCCACCACUUGAAGUUGUCGCCGUCUCCGUUGCCUCUAUAAUUUGAUUUAGGGUUUGAAAUCUUUAGUUUUAGGAUUUUUUAUUUUUGGAUUCUUUUUUGUUAAAUUUUCUUAGUUUGGGUCUUUUGUAAUAGAAUUUUACAGUGAAAUUUGCAGCAGCUGUUUGGUAUAA